UACGUAGGGUGCAAGCGUUAAUCGGAAUUACUGGGCGUAAAGCGUGCGCAGGCGGUUUUGUAAGUCAGAUGUGAAAUCCCCGGGCUCAACCUGGGAACUGCAUCUGUGACUGCAUCGCUGGAGUGCGGCAGAGGGGGAUGGAAUUCCGCGUGUAGCAGUGAAAUGCGUAGAUAUGCGGAGGAACACCGAUGGCGAAGGCAAUCCCCUGGGCCUGCACUGACGCUCAUGCACGAAAGCGUGGGAGCAAACAGG
rnacentral:rRNA from 1 species